UUGUACGCAGUCUGACAGCCAUGUCGCGUGCAGGAAGACUGCCCUAUGGGUUGUAAACUGCUUUUAUAGUAAAAAAAACACAUCUACGUGUAGAUGUCUGCCAGUAUACUAUGAAUAAGCAUCGGCUAACUCCGUGCCAGCAGCCGCGGUAAUACGGAGGAUGCAAGCGUUAUCCGGAUUUAUUGGGUUUAAAGGGUGCGUAGGCGGGACUGUAAGUCAGGGGUGAAAUACUGCAGCUUAACUGUAACAUUGCCUUUGAAACUGCCGUUCUUGAGUACAGUUGAGGUAGGCGGAAUGUGGUGUGUAGCGGUGAAAUGCAUAGAUAUACCACAGAACGCCGAUUGCGAAGGCAGCUUACUAACCUGUUACUGACGCUGAGGCACGAAAGCGUGGGGAUCAAACAGGAUUAGAUACCCUGGUAGUCCACGCUGUAAACGAUGAUUACUGGUUGUUAGCGAUAUAUAGCUAGUGACUGAGCGAAAGCAUUAAGUAAUCCACCUGGGGAGUACGUCGGCAACGAUGAAACUCAAAGGAAUUUGACGGA
rnacentral:rRNA from 1 species